GCCCUCGUGGAUCGCAGUGAUCACUCCUCUCUCCAUAGACCCUGACUGUGUACACAUUAUGAGGAGAGGCGGAGGUUCAAAUCCUCCCGAGGGCA